GUUUGUCUCGUGACUUUCGCCUUUUGUUUUGUGAUAAGAACUACCGCAGAAUUUUGAGCAUUUAUUCGACCUUUAUUCAUUUAUUUCACGGCUUCGUGAAUUUAUGUAAGCAUCCCAAGCCGGUUUUUCCUCCACACGUUUCACAUUCUCCAUCAUUGACUGACUGCCUCAGCUGUGGACCAGAGCAUGAAGCCAGCUGACAGCAGUAACCGACUCUAUCAUCUCCACUAGAGGGAGGGCUAUCUCACAACAACGCCACCAAGGAGCUGCAGCAGAGAUGGAGAGAAUUGCUGCAUGUUAAAAGGUUCAAAACCGAUGCUGAACUGGACUGCUUCCUCCUACACAGGUGGAUGUAAUCAAUGGAGGGAUAAAAGGCGGGGAAUGGAAAGGCUGAGCUCUUUCUCUUACACACUACCGACUGCAGUUCCCGCAGCAGCAACAGCACUGUCCCAGUGGAGC